CCUGCUCCUGGUCACCGGCGCGGUGGCCAUAGACCAAAUUGUAACUCUGUUGCUAUCUCUAGCUCGUGUUAGUUUGUUGGUUACUGAAAUUAGAUGGAAGACUGCACUGAAUUGUUGGUGAUUUCGUAGCGAGCAGCAUGAUCCUCCCGGCAUCAUCCGCAAAUGGGGCGCAACAGCUGCGGUGAUGGAUCCGGUUCCAGGAGAAAGCACUGGGGGUGGUGGGUGCAGCAGCAUCAUGAAGGUUGGUGAUCUUAUGAAUUCUGCUAUUAUGGGAAAAUCCGAGAGGUUGAUGUAGAGAAUGAGAAGGUUAUCCAGGAGUAUGUUCUAGGUGAAUAUGACCCUGAUGCAACCGAUGCUUACCAUGACAAUCACACCUCCGAGUCUGCUGAUGAGGAUCACGUGAAAGAUACUUCUAAGAGAAAGCACCUGGGAUAUACUAAACAGAGUGGUGCCUUAACAACUUCUUGCGAUAUAAUGAGAUGUUGAAGCGGCAGACCGAAUCCAUGACACCGAAGUGCAAUUGCGGCAGAUUAUCUCUAUUUUCCAUUUAAUUUUUCUUAUUAUUGGAGUGAGAACGGGUAGAAUGAGGAACUGUGUGAUAGUAGAUACAACAACUAUGUUUGCAAUUGUUAAUGACAUACAUACUUGCAUUUUCUUUGAAGUGGUUAAUCGUGAGUACCAACGCAUAAUGAUGGGGUUUUGGCUCAUUUAUUGGCUUCGGUGUCCAGUUAACCAUGAAAUAGGAGCCCAUGUCAAUUAUGUAUGCUCUUACGGGAUGUGUUC